CCGAACCCAGGGCCUUGUGCUUGCUAGGCAAGCACUCUACCACUGAGCUAAAUCCCCAACCCCAAUAAAUAAUUUUUUAAAUGUGUGUUUUGCCUGAAUAUAUGCUGGGAUUACAUUUGCACGCCACCACAUCUGACUUACUCUUUUGUGUAUGUACGUGUGUAUGCAUGCAUGGAGGUUGAAAAUCAACAGCAGUGUCUUUCUCAAUUACACUCGACCUUAUUUUUUUUGACACAGGGUCUCUCACUGAACCCAGAUAUCAUUAACUGGCUAGGCUGGCUGGUCAGAAAACAAAAACAAAAAAAUCUUUGUGUCUACCUCUGUGUUUGGGAUUACAGGGACUCCCUGCUGUGCCCAGCUGGGGACUGAACCCAAGCGCUCUACCACUGAGCUAAAUCCCCAACCCCUAAUAAGCAGCUUUCUUGUAUGGUCUCUGCUUCAGUUCCUGCCUCCAGGUAUUUGCCAAAUCCCUUCAACGAUGGACUAUGAUGUGGAAGUAACCCAAGUUAAAACCCAGUUGCAGCCUGGUCAAAAGAGUGAGUUUCAGGACAGCCAGCGGAAAAACAAAACAAAACCCAC
ensembl:lncRNA